rnacentral:rRNA from 1 species
AGUGAACGCUGGCGGUAGGCCUAACACAUGCAAGUCGAACGGCAGCACAGUAAGAGCUUGCUCUUACGGGUGGCGAGUGGCGGACGGGUGAGGAAUACAUCGGAAUCUACUUUUUCGUGGGGGAUAACGUAGGGAAACUUACGCUAAUACCGCAUACGACCUACGGGUGAAAGCAGGGGAUCUUCGGACCUUGCGCGAUUGAAUGAGCCGAUGUCGGAUUAGCUAGUUGGCGGGGUAAAGGCCCACCAAGGCGACGAUCCGUAGCUGGUCUGAGAGGAUGAUCAGCCACACUGGAACUGAGACACGGUCCAGACUCCUACGGGAGGCAGCAGUGGGGAGUAUUGGACAAUGGGCGCAAGCCUGAUCCAGCCAUACCGCGUGGGUGAAGAAGGCCUUCGGGUUGUAAAGCCCUUUUGUUGGGAAAGAAAAGCAGCAGGUUAAUACCCCGCUGUUCUGACGGUACCCAAAGAAUAAGCACCGGCUAACCUCGUG